GACGAACGCUGGCGGCGUGCCUAAUACAUGCAAGUCGAACGAGAGCGACCGGUGCUUGCACUGGUCAAUCUAGUGGCGAACGGGUGAGUAACACGUGGGUAACCUGCCCAUCAGAGGGGGAUAACAUCCGGAAACGGAUGCUAAAACCGCAUAGGUCUUCGAGCCGCAUGGCUUGAAGAGGAAAAGAGGCGCAAGCUUCUGCUGAUGGAUGGACCCGCGGUGCAUUAGCUAGUUGGUGAGGUAACGGCUCACCAAGGCCGUGAUGCAUAGCCGACCUGAGAGGGUGAUCGGCCACAUCGGGACUGAGACACGGCCCAAACUCCUACGGGAGGCAGCAGUAGGGAAUCUUCCGCAAUGGACGCAAGUCUGACGGAGCAACGCCGCGUGAGUGAAGAAGGUUUUCGGAUCGUAAAACUCUGUUGUUAGAGAAGAACAAGUGCUAGAGUAACUGUUAGCGCCUUGACGGUAUCUAACCAGAAAGCCACGGCUAACUACGUG
rnacentral:rRNA from 1 species